GCAAAGUAGGUAAUCUCCCUCCCCUGGUACUUAGAAACGGCCUAUCAGGGCUCAGUCAUUGCUUUAUAAAGGCUGUGAUUAGGCUACCUGGGAUGCGUCAUUGUUGGCCCCGCCCAUCCGGUACGUGUGCGCUUCCGCCUAACAAAGGUAUGUUUGUAGCUGGUCUGGCUAAUGCUGCAAUGAGCUCUUGGACAUCGGCUAACUAUAUUAAUUUAUUGUAGCUGGAGUCGCCUUUUUGCAGCUUGAAUAGCCCAUUAUUCCUGGCUUCGCUGUGGUUUUCAGGCUGUUCUUGCCACCUGGUUAGACUGAUUUCAUUCAAGUAAUCUUCUGAGACUUGUGCUGUGAGCAACUGUAUGAGGUGUGUGUAACGCUGUAGUCAAUACCUGGCCCCUGAGUCGGGUGGCUAGCUGUCCUAGUAUCCUGGUGGUGGUGGUGGUGGUGUUUGGAGCACGGAGUGUGGAUUGUCGUUUGUAGUCACUCACCUCACUGUGUGUGUGUGUGUGUGCUUUUACGAAUAGCCACUUUUGCAGCUAGCCUACCCUGCUAGGGGUAAGCCUUCGUAAAACUGAUUAAUGUAUGCCUGGUCGAAUCAUAUCUUUGCCUGAUCUUUUAAAAGGUGUAUUUUCUACUUUGUGAAUUUAAUAAAUAGUUUAUACGCUAGUGCCUCUGUCUCUGCCUCCUAUGGUAACGAACCUGUGUGUCUAAAUUCCAUCAAGUAUUUAGUUCCCCUCACUUUAGAGGGGUGGCGUAGUCGGUAGUUAUAUCAUAAUUAAUUAACUUCAAGUUGCCACGCCACAUUCUGGCGUAGUCGGCAGGGUACCGUGUUUGGCGGAGACACUGGUAUUAGUGGUUGUAUUUUUUUGUUUGUUAUUUUUCUUUUAUUUUUCUGUUGCAGUGAGAUUGGUAAAGAGUAGCAGCAAAACAGCAGCGCACGUCUGGUGGAUUCUGAUUCUUUGUGAGUCUACUCCCUCUUGUUGGUAAGUGUUAC